rnacentral:rRNA from 1 species
GAUGAACGCUAGCUACAGGCUUAACACAUGCAAGUCGAGGGGAAACGACAUCGAAAGCUUGCUUUUGAUGGGCGUCGACCGGCGCACGGGUGAGUAACGCGUAUCCAACCUGCCCAUCACUUGGGAAUAACCUUGCGAAAGUAAGACUAAUACCCAAUGAUAUCCCACGAAGGCAUCGGAAUGGGAUUAAAGAUUUAUCGGUGAUGGAUGGGGAUGCGCCUGAUUAGCUUGUUGGCGGGGUAACGGCCCACCAAGGCAACGAUCAGUAGGGGUUCUGAGAGGAAGGUCCCCCACAUUGGAACUGAGACACGGUCCAAACUCCUACGGGAGGCAGCAGUGAGGAAUAUUGGUCAAUGGGCGAGAGCCUGAACCAGCCAAGUAGCGUGCAGGAAGACGGCCCUAUGGGUUGUAAACUGCUUUUAUAAGGGAAUAAAGUGGGUCACGUGUGACUUUUUGCAUGUACCUUAUGAAUAAGGACCGGCUAAUUCCGUG